CAAACAUCUACAACCUUCCUAGCUCUAGUGGGCUCUGUUUCUCUCAUAAUUCCAACUACAGGACAUAUCGUCCUGAUUCAAAGAUUCAGACGGCUGAUGCCUUAUCCAGGAUGUUUGAAGAGUCGGAUCUAAGUAAGGAGACACCAAGUACCAUAUCACCUACUCAUCAAUUUCUUCCUGUAACCAUGUCGAUUUUAGAUAAUAUCAGAAUUACAGAUAUACAUAUCAGGAAUACCAAAGGUAACUCCUCCUUUGCAAUUCAAACAAGGACUCUGAUACUAUGACUCUCAAAUUUUCAUUCCUCUUCCACUUCAAGGAAUUAAGAUUGAGAUUCUCAAUCUAUUCCAUGAAAUCCUGCCAUCAGGUCACUGUAGAAUCACACAAUCUCUAGAAGGUAUCAGUCACUAUUUCUGGUAACCAACUAUUACUAAAGACACCAAGGAGCAUGUCCAUUCAUAUGAGGUCUGUGCUCGGUCAAAGACUCCAAGACCAAACCAGUCCAUUUCCUUCAACCUUCC